UACGGAGGGUGCAAGCGUUGUUCGGAAUCACUGGGCGUAAAGGGCGUGUAGGCGGCCUGUUAAGUCUGAUGUGAAAUCCCCUCGCUCAACGAGGGAACUGCGUCGGAAACUGGCAGGCUCGAGUACCGGAGAGGAAGGUGGAAUUCCCGGUGUAGCGGUGAAAUGCGUAGAUAUCGGAAGGAACACCAGUGGCGAAAGCGGCUUCCUGGUCCAGCACCGACGUUCAGGCACGAAAGCGUGGGGAGCAAACAGG
rnacentral:rRNA from 1 species